AUACAUACACAAUUACAUACAUACAUACAUACAAAAAAAUAAAAAAAAAGACGUACACUCCCCCUCUUUGUGUGUUUAUUAUUAUUACUAUUACUUUUAUUCACAUUUUCUAUCUCUCCUCACACUUUCUACAA
rnacentral:ribozyme from 1 species